rnacentral:rRNA from 1 species
AGUGAACGCUGGCGGUAGGCCUAACACAUGCAAGUCGAACGGCAGCACAGUAAGAGCUUGCUCUUACGGGUGGCGAGUGGCGGACGGGUGAGGAAUACAUCGGAAUCUACUUUUUCGUGGGGGAUAACGUAGGGAAACUUACGCUAAUACCGCAUACGACCUACGGGUGAAAGCAGGGGAUCUUCGGACCUUGCGCGAUUGAAUGAGCCGAUGUCGGAUUAGCUAGUUGGCGGGGUAAAGGCCCACCAAGGCGACGAUCCGUAGCUGGUCUGAGAGGAUGAUCAGCCACACUGGAACUGAGACACGGUCCAGACUACUACGGGAGGCAGCAGUGGGGAAUAUUGGACAAUGGGCGCAAGCCUGACCCAGCCAUACCGCGUGUGUGAAGAAGGCCUUGGGGUUGUAAAGCCCUUUUGUGGGGAAAGAAAAGCAGCAGGUUAAUACCCCGCUGUUCUGACGGUACCCAAUGAAUAAGCACCGGCUAACUUCGUG